GUUGGUUCAUCUUCCCCUUUUCAACGUUACGUUGUGGUUCAUGCUGUGUGCCAUCGUUUCCAUCCUGGGGCUGCAGCCUUUGGAGGACGCGGCCUUCGCGGUCUUUAGAGGCCGGUUCAGCCUUCGCGGUAUACGGAGGACCUGGCCUGUAAAGAUCGUGAAGGCUGAACCGAGCGGUCUACAACAUGAGACGGUCCGGUCUACGGGGGACUUCCUGACGCUGGAGGGGCAUCUCAUACACACUCUGGAGACCACCCCAGAUGAUGCAUCAGGA